rnacentral:tRNA from 1 species
GGCGGCGUAGCUCAGUUGGUCAGAGCAUUCGGUUCAUACCCGAAGUGUCGUUGGUUCAACUCCGACCGCCGCUACCA